rnacentral:rRNA from 1 species
AACUCUCGACAACGGAUAUCUCGACUCUUGCAUCAAUGAAGAACGUAGAGAAAUGCGAUACUUGGUGUGAAUUGCARAAUCCCGUGAACCAUCGAGUCUUUGAACGCAAGUUGCGCCUGAGGCCCCUGGUCCAAGGGCACGCCAGCCUGGGCAUCA